GACGAACGCUGGCGGCGUGCUUAACACAUGCAAGUCGAACGGUAAGGCCCUUUGGGGUGCUCGCGUGGGGAACAGGGGAGUAACACGCGGGUGAACUGCCCCGCACUUUUGGAUAAGCCAGGGAAACAGGGUCUAAAAUCGCAUAGGACCACUCUCUUCAUGGUGGGUGGUGGAAAGCUCUGGGGGGGUGGGAUGGGCCCGCGGCCUAUCAGCUUGUUGGUGGGGUAAUGGCGCACCAAGGCGACGACGGGUAGCCGGCCUGAGAGGGUGACCGGCCACACUGGGACUGAGAUACGGCCCAGACUCCUACGGGAGGCAGCAGUGGGGAAUAUUGCACAAUGGGCGCAAGCCUGAUGCAGCGACGCCGCGUGAGGGAUGACGGCCUUCGGGUUGUAAACCUCUUUCAAUAGGGACGAAGCGCAAGUGACGGUACCUAUAGAAGAAGCACCGGCCAACUACGUG
rnacentral:rRNA from 1 species